UGAGGAAUUUUCCGCAAUGGGCGAAAGCCUGACGGAGCAAUCUCGCGUGAGGGAUGACGGCCUAUGGGUUGUAAACCUCUUUUUUCAGGGAGGAAUAAAUGACGUGUACCUGAAGAAUAAGCAUCGUCUAACUCCGUGCCAGCAGCCGCGGUAAGACGGAGGAUGCAAGUGUUAUCCGGAAUCACUGGGCGUAAAGCGUCUGUAGGUGGUUUAGUAAGUCAACUGUUAAAUCUUGAGGCUCAACCUCAAAAUCGCAGUCGAAACUAUUAGACUAGAGUAUAGUAGGGGUAAAGGGAAUUUCCAGUGGAGCGGUGAAAUGCGUAGAUAUUGGAAAGAACACCGAUGGCGAAGGCACUUUACUGGGCUAUUACUGACACUCAGAGACGAAAGCUAGGGUAGCAAAUGGGUUUAGAUACCCCAGUAGUCCUAGCCGUAAACGAUGGAUACU
rnacentral:rRNA from 1 species